rnacentral:rRNA from 1 species
AUUGAACGCUGGCGGCAGGCCUAACACAUGCAAGUCGAGCGGAGCGGCGGACGGGUGAGUAAUGCCUAGGAAUCUGCCUGGUAGUGGGGGAUAACGUCCGGAAACGGGCGCUAAUACCGCAUACUAUCAGAUGAGCCUAGGUCGGAUUAGCUAGUUGGUGGGGUAAAGGCCUACCAAGGCGACGAUCCGUAACUGGUCUGAGAGGAUGAUCAGUCAAACUGGAACUGAGACACGGUCCAAAGUAAUACGGGAGGCAGCAGUGGGGAAUAUUGGACAAAGGGAGAAAGGCUGAUCCAGGCAUGCCGCGUGGGUGAAGAAGGUCUUCGGAUUGUAAAGCACUUUAAGUUGGGAGGCGUUACGAACAGAAUAAGCACGGGCUGACUUCGUGCCAGCAGCCGCGGUAAGAC